GACGAACGCUGGCGGCGUGCUUAACACAUGCAAGUCGAACGGAAAGGCCCUGCUUUUGUGGGGUGCUCGAGUGGCGAACGGGUGAGUAACACGUGAGUAACCUGCCCUUGACUUUGGGAUAACUUCAGGAAACUGGGGCUAAUACCGGAUAGGAGCUCCUGCUGCAUGGUGGGGGUUGGAAAGUUUGGGCGGUUGGGGAUGGACUCGCGGCUUAUCAGCUUGUUGGUGGGGUAGUGGCUUACCAAGGCUUUGACGGGUAGCCGGCCUGAGAGGGUGACCGGCCACAUUGGGACUGAGAUACGGCCCAGACUCCUACGGGAGGCAGCAGUGGGGAAUAUUGCACAAUGGGCGGAAGCCUGAUGCAGCAACGCCGCGUGCGGGAUGACGGCCUUCGGGUUGUAAACCGCUUUCGCCUGUGACGAAGCGUGAGUGACGGUAAUGGGUAAAGAAGCACCGGCUAACUACGUG
rnacentral:rRNA from 1 species